rnacentral:rRNA from 1 species
UAGGGAAUCUUCGGCAAUGGACGAAAGUCUGACCGAGCAACGCCGCGUGAGUGAAGAAGGUUUUCGGAUCGUAAAACUCUGUUGUUAGAGAAGAACAAGGACGUUAGUAACUGAACGUCCCCUGACGGUAUCUAACCAGAAAGCCACGGCUAACUACGUGCCAGCAGCCGCGGUAAUACGUAGGUGGCAAGCGUUGUCCGGAUUUAUUGGGCGUAAAGCGAGCGCAGGCGGUUUCUUAAGUCUGAUGUGAAAGCCCCCGGCUCAACCGGGGAGGGUCAUUGGAAACGGGGGGACUUGAGUGCAGAAGAGGGGAGUGGAAUUCCAUGUGUAGCGGUGAAAUGCGUAGAUAUAUGGAGGAACACCAGUGGCGAAGACGGCUCUAUGGUCUAUAACUGACGCUGAGGCUCGAAAGCGUGGGGAGCAAACAGG